AGUGAACGCUGGCGGCAGGCCUAACACAUGCAAGUCGAGCGGCAGCGGGUUCCCGCGAGGGGAUGCCGGCGAGCGGCGGACGGGUGAGGAACACAUCGGAAUCGUGCCUGGUUGUGGGGGAUAACGUAGGGAAACUUACGCUAAUACCGCAUGCGACCCUGAGUCGACGGACUGGGGGUGAAAGUGAGGGACCUUCGGGCCUCACGCGACCAGAUGAGCCGAUGUCGGAUUAGCUAGUUGGCGGGGUAACGGCCCGCCAAGGCGACGAUCCGUAGCUGGUCUGAGAGGA
rnacentral:rRNA from 1 species